rnacentral:rRNA from 1 species
AUGGCUGCCAGGCAUCCUGACGCCAACCACAGCCACACACACGCAUGCGAGGGGAUAAGCCCCAGGCCCACACGCAUGCGAGGGGAUAAGCCCCGCGCCGCUCCUCUCCAACCUGUGGCCGAGGCCCCGUUUGCCUCCAUCGAUUCCCUUCCCCUCUCUCCUCUCGCUUGCAAGACCCCCGUCGCCGUCGGCCAGCUCUCCCUUCCCCGGCGCUCCCUCUCCCUAGACUCUACACCCGCAAGCCUCGACCGUGCCUCCAAGCCGAGCGCCUCCAGCUGCAGCUCGUCGGCCACGCUCUCCGACUGUUGCGCCUUCCCUCCCGGCCAGCAUCCGGGUCUCCAUCUCAGGCCGCGAUGCACACCGCCACGCGCGAGCUGGAGUAGUAGGGAGGUUGCGCCGUGA